AUGAGGGGAAGGUGAUGGUGAAGGUUUGUCCACACACAUCUCUUUUCUGAACAUUGAAGUCAACAUGAUCAAGACUCUCAUCAGUGUUGCUUUUCUCUUCUGUCUCUCAGGUAUUUCAAACAGUCAAGAUGUGCAUCAGAAUGAAACUGAUCGGAUCAAAUUUCCUGGACAAUCAGAAGAGCUCCACUGUUCUCAUAGUUCAUCUUCUUAUAAUGUCAUGCUCUGGUACAAACAAACACGUAGCAAAGGGUUGGAGCUCAUUGGACACCUUGUUGGCUCUGGUGAAACAGUUGAGGAUAAAUUCAAAGAUAAAGCAAAUCUGGAUGGCAAUGCAAAUAAAAACAGUGUUUUAAAACUAAAGGAUCUUUCAUCUGAUGACAGUGCAGUGUACUUUUGCGCUGCUAGUAUACACAGUGCUGUGGGUUCCCUUCCUUCUCAGCAAAAACCCUGGUGUAUUAACAUGCAAUUACAAUGAGUGGAACCUGGAGCUUUCAAGCUUCAAAAACAGUGC